CCUACGGGCGGCAGCAGUGGGGAAUAUUGGACAAUGGGCGAAAGCCUGAUCCAGCCAUGCCGCGUGUAUGAAGAAGGCCUUCGGGUUGUAAAGCACUUUCAGUGGGGAAGAAAGCCUUGGGGCUAAUACCCUCGAGGAAGGACAUCACCCACAGAAGAAGCACCGGCUAACUCCGUGCCAGCAGCCGCGGUAAUACGGAGGGUGCGAGCGUUAAUCGGAAUUACUGGGCGUAAAGCGCGCGUAGGCGGUCUGAUAAGCCGGUUGUGAAAGCCCCGGGCUCAACCUGGGAACGGCAUCCGGAACUGUCAGGCUAGAGUGCAGGAGAGGAAGGUAGAAUUCCCGGUGUAGCGGUGAAAUGCGUAGAGAUCGGGAGGAAUACCAGUGGCGAAGGCGGCCUUCUGGACUGACACUGACGCUGAGGUGCGAAAGCGUGGGUAGCAAACAGGAUUAGAUACCCUUGUAGUC
rnacentral:rRNA from 1 species